GCUCUCACUAGGGCAGCACACACACGAAAAUUGGAACAGUACAGAGAAGACUAGCAUGGCCACUGUGCAAAGGUGACAUGCAAACUCAUUAAGUGUUCAUAUUUUUA
ensembl:snRNA U6 U6 spliceosomal RNA